AUGAAAAGGUCAUAUGAAUGGCUUUUUUGUCAAUGGAGAAAAAUCAAUGGCUCGUAUUGCCGGCGUUAACAUUCCGGAU
rfam:Moraxella lincolnii strain CCTG 9405 CCTG9405T_R1__paired__trimmed__paired__contig_15, whole genome shotgun sequence.